AAAUUGAAGAGUUUGAUCAUGGCUCAGAUUGAACGCUGGCGGCAGGCCUAACACAUGCAAGUCGAACGGUAACAGGAAGCAGCUUGCUGCUUCGCUGACGAGUGGCGGACGGGUGAGUAAUGUCUGGGAAACUGCCUGAUGGAGGGGGAUAACUACUGGAAACGGUAGCUAAUACCGCAUAACGUCGCAAGACCAAAGAGGGGGACCUUCGGGCCUCUUGCCAUCGGAUGUGCCCAGAUGGGAUUAGCUUGUUGGUGGGGUAACGGCUCACCAAGGCGACGAUCCCUAGCUGGUCUGAGAGGAUGACCAGCCACACUGGAACUGAGACACGGUCCAGACUCCUACGGGAGGCAGCAGUGGGGAAUAUUGCACAAUGGGCGCAAGCCUGAUGCAGCCAUGCCGCGUGUAUGAAGAAGGCCUUCGGGUUGUAAAGUACUUUCAGCGGGGAGGAAGGGAGUGAAGUUAAUACCUUUGCUCAUUGACGUUACCCGCAGAAGAAGCACCGGCUAACUCCGUGCCAGCAGCCGCGGUAAUACGGAGGGUGCAAGCGUUAAUCGGAAUUACUGGGCGUAAAGCGCACGCAGGCGGUUUGUUAAGUCAGAUGUGAAAUCCCCGGGCUCAACCUGGGAACUGCAUCUGAUACUGGCAAGCUUGAGUCUCGUAGAGGGGGGUAGAAUUCCAGGUGUAGCGGUGAAAUGCGUAGAGAUCUGGAGGAAUACCGGUGGCGAAGGCGGCCCCCUGGACGAAGACUGACGCUCAGGUGCGAAAGCGUGGGGAGCAAACAGGAUUAGAUACCCUGGUAGUCCACGCCGUAAACGAUGUCGACUUGGAGGUUGUGCCCUUGAGGCGUGGCUUCCGGAGCUAACGCGUUAAGUCGACCGCCUGGGGAGUACGGCCGCAAGGUUAAAACUCAAAUGAAUUGACGGGGGCCCGCACAAGCGGUGGAGCAUGUGGUUUAAUUCGAUGCAACGCGAAGAACCUUACCUGGUCUUGACAUCCACGGAAGUUUUCAGAGAUGAGAAUGUGCCUUCGGGAACCGUGAGACAGGUGCUGCAUGGCUGUCGUCAGCUCGUGUUGUGAAAUGUUGGGUUAAGUCCCGCAACGAGCGCAACCCUUAUCCUUUGUUGCCAGCGGUCCGGCCGGGAACUCAAAGGAGACUGCCAGUGAUAAACUGGAGGAAGGUGGGGAUGACGUCAAGUCAUCAUGGCCCUUACGACCAGGGCUACACACGUGCUACAAUGGCGCAUACAAAGAGAAGCGACCUCGCGAGAGCAAGCGGACCUCAUAAAGUGCGUCGUAGUCCGGAUUGGAGUCUGCAACUCGACUCCAUGAAGUCGGAAUCGCUAGUAAUCGUGGAUCAGAAUGCCACGGUGAAUACGUUCCCGGGCCUUGUACACACCGCCCGUCACACCAUGGGAGUGGGUUGCAAAAGAAGUAGGUAGCUUAACCUUCGGGAGGGCGCUUACCACUUUGUGAUUCAUGACUGGGGUGAAGUCGUAACAAGGUAACCGUAGGGGAACCUGCGGUUGGAUCACCUCCUUA
rnacentral:rRNA from 1 species